GAUGAACGCUGGCGGCGUGCCUAACACAUGCAAGUCGAGCGAACGGACGAGAAGCUUGCUUUCUUGCUGUUAGCGGCUGACGGAUGAGUAACCCGUGGAUUACCUACUUAUUAGUCUGGGUUAAAUUCGGGGAUCCGGUGCUAAUACCACAUAAUAUUUUGAACCGCAGGGUACAAAAGUUCUAGACGGUUUUGCCGUCUCUUAUAGCUGGAUCCGCGCUGCCUUAGCUAGUUGGUAAGGUAACGGCGUAGCAAGGCAACGAUGCGUAGCGGACCUGAGAGGGUGAUCGGCCACACGGGAACUGAGACACGGUCCAGACACCUACGGUAGGCAGCAGUAGGGAAUCUUCCGCAAUGGGCGAAAGCCUGACGGAGCAACGCCGCGUGAGUGAUGAAGGUCUUCGGAUGGUAAAACUCUGUUAUUAGGAAAGAACAUAAGCGUAAGUAACUGUGCACAUCUUGACGGUACCUAAAGAGGAAGCCCCGGCUAACUACGUG
rnacentral:rRNA from 1 species